CGUGCCGCCCAUAUUUGUUCCCCCCGCCUUUGGCAUUUUCUUCCGACCCAGCAGGGGGCAGUUAGCGUUGAAACGGUGGCAACUGCGGCAGCAGAGUAAUAAUAACCAAGUUGAUUGCAUGAGGUGAAAGCAAAGAGUUCUUUGGUAGAAGUGUUCAGAAAAAGUGGAAGCAACGAUUUGAACUGUUGCCUAAGAAUCAUAAAGCACAUCGCUUUCUGCAUGGAUGUCAAUGUGUAUGUUGCUAAUUCCUACGUGAUAGUGACCUGGCUUUCACUACAUUCUUGUUUUUCUGGGUUGUCUUUUUUGAAACAUUGCAAAACUCAUCGACAGCAGAAAUUGGACAGAGAAAACUGCCAAUACAUUUGAAGUGAAACAUUUUAUAUACAUGCUAACAAAAGUCUGUUUCAUUACAUAAAUUAUAACAUUUACAAUAAUUGAUGUGAUGGUAAUCUGUAAAGGUAAAACUAUGUGCUUGUUUUCAUCCAAACCUCACAGGGAAUCCCGAAGCAGAUGGGUGGGAACCACUUUGGGAUUAUCAUACUAAUGAAUGAUGCCUCUGAUUAGUAGGUGGUGGUGUUUUGUUCUCCUGGACAAUCACUCAACCACUGAGGGGGGUCUUAACUAUUCAAAAGGCAACGUCUUCAGGCAGAGACCAGUGAAGCAGGUGACUCUGCGUAUUUGACACUUUCUCUGGGAUGCAGAUGGUUUAUGAAUGUGGUCACUCAAGAUGUUUUUCAGAAAGCAGUGCAACACGGUAAGAUUCACCCCCCUGUUCAAUGAACAUUCUUGAAUUUAAUUUUGUAGUAUGAGGCAGUUAAACUUUUUAUUUAUCUUUCCUGUAUUUUGUCUUUAGACUUUAAGGUGUGGCCAUCUGGAAGAACUUCAGUCCUGUCUACUGGACAGGGUUUAGAUUGUGUACAGCAUCAGGGAAUGCUUGCAGUGCAGAGCCCUUUUCAAGUCAUACCCACCAGGGUUUAGGGGAAGAGGCCGACGUGGUGAACUUCUGGGCUUUUACUGAAAUGUUUGCACAGGAUUUUGCUUCCAGGACUUUUUUUUUUGCGGCAGAAAACUCAUUAGUGUGUUAAGCGAGAAUGAACUGAGAUCAACUGGUUUUGAUGUAUGAAUUAAUAAUUUAAAGUUAAACUUUGCAGUGUAUAGUGUUCUAAUAAAAAAGCUAUGGCAAACACGUGCAUGAAAACAAGGUUUCAGUCAUUUACAUCAGUCUAUUGUUCUUUAGGGUUUCUCAUAUUCCAUGUAAACAUAAUUUGCUAUGAAUUAAGCAGGCAUGAAGUCCAUCUAAUUAAUAAAUUCUUAAUUUAGCUGUGACAAUUUUUUGUAAUAGGCCUAUUUAAAUUACCAAUGAUUUUAGAAAGAAAGUUUUUAAAGGGGUUUUUAAAUGUAUUGUUUUUUUUACGUUUUUUUAUAUAGAAAUGGGAGACUACAUUUAGGAUUAAUAAGGUUUUCAGUAAUGCAGUUCAGAAAUCAAAUACGACCUAGUUACUUCCUUGCGAAAAGUAAUUUUUAUUGGUAAGAUUGACCAUUUUAAAAAGUAAGGUUUUAUUGUUGUAAAAGUCUUUGUUGGCAUGUGGAUUACCAUGUGUCACACAAACACAUUUUAUACAUAUAAUCUGUGUGUUUGAAUAUAUUAGUCAAGGUACAUCUACAUAACCAUGCUUCGCAUUAUAUUGUCGUGUCACUUACAAAAACCAGCGAGUAAUGUCGAGGUAACCUUAGUGUGCUGAGGGUGUCAGCUGUUGAGGGAGUAAAUUAAACCAUUUAUUUAUAUUCUGUUCGUCGUAAUCCUCAAUUCUUUGUAUAUCUGUUUUCAUGAAAUGUUGUGGAAUUGAAACGUUAAACGCAAAA